CCGGUGUCAAAUGAGUUCAAACAAACUCUGCUUUUUUAUAAGGCUUAAAGUGAACAGACUCACGAAUCGUAAACAAGUAGCAGAGUUUCACAAACGUCUUUA